UACGUAGGCAGCGAGCGUUGUUCGGAGUUACUGGGCGUAAAGGGUGUGUAGGCGGUUGUUUAAGUUUGGUGUGAAAUCUCCCGGCUCAACUGGGAGGGCGCGCCGAAUACUGAAUGACUUCGAGUGCGGGAGAGGAGAGUGGAAUUCCUGGUGUAGCGGUGAAAUGCGUAGAUAUCAGGAGGAACACCGGUGGUGUAGACGGCUCUCUGGACCGUAACUGACGCUGAGACACGAAAGCGUGGGUAGCAAACAGG
rnacentral:rRNA from 1 species